rnacentral:rRNA from 1 species
AUACGAAGGGACCUAGCGUAAUUCGGAAUUACUGGGCGUAAAGCGCGCGUAGGCGGUUAAGUAAGUUAAUUGUGAAAGCCCAAAGCUCAACUUUGGAAUUGCAAUUAAAACUACUUAGCUAGAGUUUAUCAGAGGAAAGCGGAAUACAUAGUGUAGAGGUGAAAUUCGUAGAUAUUAUGUAGAACACCAGUUGCGAAGGCGGCUUUCUGGGAUAAUACUGACGCUGAGGUGCGAAAGUAUGGGUAGCGAAGAGGAUUAGAUACCCUCGUAGUCCAUACCGUAAACGCUGUCUACUAGCUGUUUGUGAAUUUAAUUCGUGAGUAGCGAAGCUAACGCGAUAAGUAGACCGCCUGGGGAGUACGGCCGCAAGGUUAAACUCAAAUGAAUUGACGGGGGCCCGCACAAGCGGUGGAGCAUGUGGUUUAAUUCGAUGCAACGCGAAGAACCUUACCUACUCUUGACAUACUAGAAACUUUUCAGAGAUGAAUUGGUGCCUUCGGGAAUCUAGAUACAGGUGCUGC